rnacentral:rRNA from 1 species
GGCGGACGGGUGAGUAACACGUGGGCAACCUGCCUGUAAGACUGGGAUAACUUCGGGAAACCGGAGCUAAUACCGGAUAAUUCUUUUCUACACAUGUAGAAAAGCUGAAAGACGGCUUCGGCUGUCACUUACAGAUGGGCCCGCGGCGCAUUAGCUAGUUGGUGAGGUAACGGCUCACCAAGGCAACGAUGCGUAGCCGACCUGAGAGGGUGAUCGGCCACACUGGGACUGAGACACGGCCCAGACUCCUACGGGAGGCAGCAGUAGGGAAUCUUCCGCAAUGGACGAAAGUCUGACGGAGCAACGCCGCGUGAGUGAUGAAGGUUUUCGGAUCGUAAAACUCUGUUGUUAGGGAAGAACAAGUACGAGAGUAACUGCUCGUACCUUGACGGUACCUAACCAGAAAGCCACGGCUAACUACGUGCCAGCAGCCGCGGUAAUACGUAGGUGGCAAGCGUUGUCCGGAAUUAUUGGGCGUAAAGCGCGCGCAGGCGGUUCCUUAAGUCUGAUGUGAAAGCCCACGGCUCAACCGUGGAGGGUCAUUGGAAACUGGGGAACUUGAGUGCAGGAGAGAAGAGUGGAAUUCCACGUGUAGCGGUGAAAUGCGUAGAGAUGUGGAGGAACACCAGUGGCGAAGGCG